rnacentral:rRNA from 1 species
GAUUGCAGUAGGGAAUCUUCCGCAAUGGACGCAAGUCUGACGGAGCAACGCCGCGUGAGUGAAGAAGGUUUUCGGAUCGUAAAACUCUGUUGUUAGAGAAGAACAAGUGCUAGAGUAACUGUUAGCGCCUUGACGGUAUCUAACCAGAAAGCCACGGCUAACUACGUGCCAGCAGCCGCGGUAAUACGUAGGUGGCAAGCGUUGUCCGGAUUUAUUGGGCGUAAAGCGAGCGCAGGCGGUUCUUUAAGUCUGAUGUGAAAGCCCCCGGCUCAACCGGGGAGGGUCAUUGGAAACUGGGGAACUUGAGUGCAGAAGAGGAGAGUGGAAUUCCAUGUGUAGCGGUGAAAUGCGUAGAUAUAUGGAGGAACACCGGUGGCGAAAGCGGCUCUCUGGUCUGUAACUGACGCUGAGGCUCGAAAGCGUGGGGAGCGAACAGGAUUAGAUACCCUGGUAGUCCACGCCGUAAACGAUGAGUGCUAGGUGUUGGGUCCUUUCCGGGAUUCAGUGCCGCAGCUAACGCAUUAAGCACUCCGCCUGGGGAGUACGACCGCAAGGUUGAAACUCAAAGGAAUUGACGGAU